CAGCAGCCGCGGUAAUACGUAGGGUGCGAGCGUUAAUCGGAAUUACUGGGCGCAAAGCGUGCGCAGGCGGUUCGUUAAGACAGAUGUGAAAUCCCCGGGCUUAACCUGGGAACUGCAUUUGUGACUGGCGAGCUAGAGUAUGGCAGAGGGGGGUGGAAUUCCACGUGCAGCAGUGAAAUGCAUAGAGAUGUGGAGGAAUACCGAUGGCGAAGGCAGCCCCCUGGGCCAAUACUGACGCUCAUGCACGAAAGCGUGGGGAGCAAACAGGAUUAGAUACCCCAGUAGUCCCUGUCUCUUAUAC
rnacentral:rRNA from 1 species